rnacentral:rRNA from 1 species
AGCGAACGCUGGCGGCAGGCCUAACACAUGCAAGUCGAACGGAUCCUUCGGGAUUAGUGGCGGACGGGUGAGUAACACGUGGGAACGUGCCCUUUGGUUCGGAACAACUCAGGGAAACUUGAGCUAAUACCGGAUGUGCCCUUCAGGGGAAAGAUUUAUCGCCAUUGGAGCGGCCCGCGUCUGAUUAGCUAGUUGGUGAGGUAACGGCCUACCAAGGCGACGAUCAGUAGCUGGUCUGAGAGGAUGAUCAGCCACACUGGGACUGAGACACGGCCCAGACUCCUACGGGAGGCAGCAGUGGGGAAUCUUGCGCAAUGGGCGAAAGCCUGACGCAGCCAUGCCGCGUGAAUGAUGAAGGUCUUAGGAUUGUAAAAUUCUUUCAGCGGGGACGAUAAUGACGGUACCCGCAGAAGAAGCUCCGGCUAACUUCGUG